rnacentral:rRNA from 1 species
GUGGGGAAUCUUGCGCAAUGGACGAAAGUCUGACGCAGCGACGCCGCGUGGGUGAUGAAGGCCUUCGGGUUGUAAAGCCCUGUGGGGGGAGACGAAUAAGUAGAAGCUAAUACCUUCUAUGAUGACGGUAUCUCCUUAGCAAGCACCGGCUAACUCUGUGCCAGCAGCCGCGGUAAGACAGAGGGUGCAAACGUUGUUCGGAAUUACUGGGCGUAAAGCGUGUGUAGGCGGCCACGUAAGUCGGAUGUGAAAGCCCCAGGCUCAACCUGGGAAGUGCACUCGAUACUGCGUGGCUUGAGUAUCGGAGAGGUUGGUGGAAUUCUCGGUGUAGAGGUGAAAUUCGUAGAUAUCGAGAGGAACACCGGUGGCGAAGGCGGCCAACUGGACGAAUACUGACGCUGAGACACGAAAGCGUGGGGAGCAAACAGGAUUAGAUACCCUUGUAGUCC